rnacentral:SRP_RNA from 2 species
GCUGGGCGUGAUGGCUCACGCCUGUAAUCCCAGCACUUUGGGAGGCUGAGGUGGGCGGAUCACCUGAGGUCAGGAGUUCCAGACCAGCCUGGCCAACAUGGUGAAACCCUGUCUCUA